GCGCGCUCCGCUCCCGAUACUCGUCGCAAGCCAGAGCCCACACCCGCACCAACCCUAGCCUCCACACCUCAACUUCCUCCCUCGCUCCGCCCCAACCCUAGCCGCCACACCUCUGCUUCCUCCCUUGCUCGACGCCAUAGGCACCGCAGCCCCUACCUCCUUCCUGCUCGUCCGGAUAGCCGCCGUCCGCCGCAUCCUUUCUCCUCCUUCCUCCUCCCUGGUCCCCGCUGGCGCCCCUCGCCCUCGUCCUCGGACAGGGGGCCUCCCGCAUGGACGGCCGGGUCUUCAAACCGGGGGUAGAGGAGCUGGGGAGGGCCAAGAGGCCGUAGGUGGGGGUGGAUCAGCUAGGCCGGAGACCUCUGAUUGCUUAGGCCCCAUGGCAGCAGCUGGAUUGGGGCGGCGGCGGAAGGCCAUGGAGGGUGUGGCGCAUGCGGGCGGAACCAACAUGGGUUGGUGGAGCGACGGAUGCGGGCAGGGUCAGCAGUUAGGGGCACUGCGAGGAGUGGAAGGCAGUGGUCAUGCGCCAGAUCGGAGCUGCAGCAGCAAGGAGCUGGUGGUGGUUCAGGUUUGCCUGUAUGGCCGUCAACUCCAGCCCCGACCCGGACAGUGCCAUGGGUCCGGCGAAGUGGUCCACGCUGAGGAAGAGGGAAACAACACAGGGAAGAAGCCGGCGUUCUUGUGGUAUAUCUGAGGUAUUAGGACGAUAGGCCAGUGGAUGGAAAAGGUGUUGGUACAAAAGUCAUUGACAAACUGUAACAGGCUUAUGCAUCUGAGAUUCCUAUGAUGGCGAAAAAGUGACAAGACAUUGAAUGUGGAACAUUACAGAGAAAUGAUUGACAAUUUGACAGAAGUAUUAGAUGAGUUUCGGACGACAAGGUCGCGUAUGGAGUACUUUCACCAUUAGGUUUCCAUUGCCCGGCUCGUGAAGGUUUAUGUGAUUGGCGGGGAUGGAACAAUGAGAGGAGUAGUGGCGAUAUUCGAAGAGUUUAAACGGUGUGAUUUGAGGAUAUCCAUUACAGGGAUCCCAAAAAACUUGGACAACGACAUUGACAUCAUAGACAGGGCGUUUGGGUUUCAAACUGCAGUGGAGAGUGCUCAGUAGGCAAUCGACGCGGCACAUGUGGGGUUGUGAAUAUUGUGGAUGGCAUUGGUCUUGUCAAACUUAUGGGAAGGAGCACGGGCCACAUUACUCUUCAUGCCACCCUGAGCAGCCUGAGAUGUUGACUUAUGUUUGAAUCCUGAGAUCGAUUUCCAUGUUGAAGGGAAGGGGCAUGCUGUCGUUGUUGUUGCUCAAGGCGCUGGUCAGGAGUUGAUUCCCCGGAUUGAUGACCAGAAGCGAGAGCAGGAUGAGUCUGGCAACAUGUUGUUCCUUAACGUUGGCCUUCUUCUAUAAAGUUUACAUGCAACUCACCUGCAUGGUUAAAAAAGCUACUACUAAUUUAAAUGUUCUGUUUCUUUGAAGAUUACUCAUUUCUCUUACCGUUGUUGCAUCGAAACAAUUGUAUUUUGGCCGCUUGCGCUCAUUUUAUAGGAGAUUGAGAUGUGGGAUAAGCUA